rnacentral:rRNA from 1 species
AUGAUGUGCGGUUUCAAUACUACUAGGUGUGAGGAGGUUAGCCUUGAUGGGCAGGUGGUGCCUCAGAAGGACACCUUUCGAUAUUUGGGGUCAAUGCUGCAGGAGGAUGGGGGUAUUGAUGAAGGUGUGAACCAUCGAAUCAAAGCCGGAUGGAUGAAUUGGCGCCAAGCUUCUAGCAUUCUCUAUGAUAAGAGAGUGCCACAAAAGCUAAAAGGCAAGUUCUACAGGACGGCGGUUCGACCCGCAAUGUUGUAUGGCGCCGAGUGUUGCCCGACUAAAAGGCGACAUGUUCAACAGUUAGGUGUAGCGGAGAUGCGCAUGUUGAGAUGGAUGUGUGGCCACAUAGGAAAGGAUCGGGUAUGGAAUGAUGUUAUAUGGGAUUGGGGUAGCACCGAUUGA